rnacentral:rRNA from 1 species
UACGUAGGGUGCGAGCGUUGUCCGGAAUUAUUGGGCGUAAAGAGCUCGUAGGCGGUGUGUCGCGUCGGCCGUGAAAACCUGCAGCUUAACUGUGGGCUUGCGGUCGAUACGGGCAUCACUGGAGUUCGGCAGGGGAGACUGGAAUUCCUGGUGUAGCGGUGAAAUGCGCAGAUAUCAGGAGGAACACCGGUGGCGAAGGCAGGUCUCUGGGCCGAUACUGACGCUGAGGAGCGAAAGCGUGGGGAGCGAACAGG